CCAGGGAAACAGUGGUACAAUUCUGACUGUCCUCCAACGUAUUCCGUACCAACUCCUCUGCUCAUCACGGCGGCUCCCCCACCCACUCCAGUCCUGCGCCUUUUCCGUAGGUGUCUCCCAGCUGCAGCAACUGACUGCAGCGCCUUCUGACAGCUUUCUGAAGCCGCGCUCAUUAAGUUUCCCAGCUAAGAAUUAUAUUCGUCCUCCCACACUCUUGGAGACGCUUCCUUUGGGGUUCAAGUUUCUUUGGUGAUGAACUUGGCUGAAGGGGCAGGGCACACGCCAGGACAGAUCCCAGGGCCCUGGGGAGGGUCCGACGACAAAGAGUGACUUUUCCGCCUUUAGCGUGUGCAUCUGUGAUCAUCCACAGCAAGCCAAGUGCUUCUUUAGAACCACAGUCCGUCCGGGGACAGAGGUUUCUUAGGGCUCAUAACAGAUGCUGCCUUUCCACGCCGACCCACCAACAUGCUUCUCUAGACAUCAGAGUCCCCUUGGAACAUCAGCCCUCCCUUCAAGUGCCGGCCACAGGGACUACCACCCUCCCCUCCGCCCUGCACUGGAUGACGAAUCCUGUGAACAGGCAGCUUUCUAUCUCCUGGGAGGCAAUGCCUUUGGACUCCCUCCCUUCCUUCUGACUCUACUCUCUCUAUUGUCCAUUUUGUCAAAUUGGAAUCUCUAGGAAAGAGACUGUCCCUGCCAGACUUGCCCAUCAGGAUCCAUUUGAUCCAGAUAAUGCUGCUAUAGGAUACAUGGGAAUAUGAUGCCAGGAGUUCCACUCCACCUCCCCCAGAAUUCUGGAAGCCAGAGCAAGAGCCUAGAACCUACUUUUUAAGGAGAAUACUGGAGCACUGAAAGAGCAUUAAAGAAUGUUACAAGAUGAUUAGAGAAGUCAGUGGCCCAUCAAAUAAUAGAAAUGGAUGUUUUUGAUCAAUUUAUCUGUGUAAGUGUGGCUGAGCUCUUUUUACCCCUCUUCACCGGUUUCCU